CCCUUCUAAACCUCAUAGAGCUCACAAACCAUGAAGUUCGGCAAAGAAUUCGAGUCCCAAAUGAUACCAGAAUGGCAAGAAGCAUACAUGAACUACAACCAUCUCAAAACCCUCCUCAAAAACAUCAUCCGAUUCAAACAAAGACGACCCUCCACAGUCCCAACACCGGACUUGAAACGACGGUUAACUCUCUACCGAGCUUUCAGUGGCCUAACACAGCGAAUGACCUCUCCCAAAACCCCCAACAGCGCCACAGACAUCGAAAGCCAACCCAUAUUGAUAAACUCGGUGAGGCGACAAGAAGGCGAGGAAGAGUACGAGACCAUGUUUUUAAGAUCCGCCGAUGAAGGAGGAGAGUACGAGAUUGUAUAUUUUAGAAGGCUUGAUGAUGAGUUUAAUAAAGUGGUUAAGUUUUAUAGAGAGAAAGUUGAGGAGGUUAUGAAAGAGGCUGCGAUGUUGAAUAAGCAAAUGGAGGCUUUGAUUGCUUUUAGGAUAAAGGUUGAUGGUGGAGAGAGUUGGAUUGUUGAUAGAUCGGUGGAGAUGACUCGUCUUGCUUCCGGUGUUGCAGCUUCGGCGGCGGCUUUAGCGGCUACUACUCCGUCGGGGCCUAGAACUGGCAGAAGAGCUUCCAUGGAUGUAAUACAUGAAGAAAUACAUGAAGAGGGGUCAAACAACCAUGGUCAUGACCUAGAUGAUCAAUAUGCUAGUGAUGAUAAAUUUGUGAAUAAUGAGAUCAAAACCAUCAAGCAAAAUGGCAAAGAACACAAUAAGCUAAAGAACUUGAGGGGUAGUAGACCAACCCCAUUGGAAAUACUUAGUCAUGUGAAGAUGAACAACAAUCCUGAGACUCCUCGUUCCACCAUCAAAAGCUUUCUCAGUGUUCAUGAUUCCAAUGAGAUUAAGUUCAGCAGGGAAAAUCUAAAGAAAGUUGAAUCACAACUUAAGCGGGCUUUCGUUGAGUUUUAUCACAAGCUUCGCCUUCUUAAGAGCUACAGUUUCUUGAAUAUCUUGGCUUUUUCAAAGAUCAUGAAGAAAUAUGACAAGAUAACUUCAAGAAAUGCAUCAAAAGCUUACUUGAAGAUGGUAGACAGCUCCUACCUUGGCAGCUCCGAUGAAGUUACCAAGCUUAUGGAAAGGGUUGAAACCACAUUCAUCAAGCAUUUUUCUAAUUCAAACCGACGUAAAGGGUUGAACAUCUUGAGACCACAAGCAAAGAGAGAAAGGCAUAGAGUAACAUUCACCUUAGGCUUUCUAUGUGGCUGCACAGUUGCUUUCUUAUUUGCACUUGUUUUGGUUACGCAUGCUCGCAAUAUCGUAAACCAUGAGCGCAAGUACCAGUACAUGGAAACCAUGUUUCCCCUUUAUAGCUUGUUUGGAUUCAUUGCACUUCACCUGCUCAUGUAUGCUGCAAAUAUAUACUUUUGGAAGAGAUACAGAGUGAAUUAUCCAUUUAUAUUUGGUUUCAAAGAAGGAACUGAAUUGGGAUGCAAAGAUGUUCUUCUCCUCAGCUUUGGUGUUGCAGUGUUUGCAAUAGCAGGUGCACUUGCAAACCUUGCUAUGGAAAUGGAUCCUAAAACUCAACGUUUCAAAGAAUUCACUGAACUUGUACCUCAGGCACUUUUAGGGCUCUUCAUUGCCAUGUUGUUCUGCCCGUUUAAUAUCAUUUUCCGAUCAAAUCGCUUCUUUUUUCUUCGUUGUAUGUUUCACUGUAUUUGCGCUCCUCUGUACAAGGUGACACUUCCUGAUUUUUUCUUAGCGGACCAAUUAACAAGCCAGGUGCAAGGAUUUAGAAGUCUGGAAUUCUACAUUUGCUACUAUGGUUGGGGAGACUAUAAGAACAGAGAAAAUACUUGCAAAACAAAUAAUCUCUACAACACACUUUAUUUCAUUAUUGCUGCAAUUCCCUACUGGUCUCGUUUUCUUCAGUGCCUUCGUCGCCUGUACGACGAGAGAGAUGGUAUGCAAGGAAUCAAUGCAUUGAAAUAUUUCUCAACCAUAAUAGCUGUGACUAUGAGGACAGCUUAUGAUCUCAAACAAGGGAUUGGUUGGAAGGCUAUAGCUUUCAUUUCCUCACUGAUUGCAGCAAUCUUUGGUACCUAUUGGGACCUUGUCAUAGAUUGGGGCCUUCUUCAGAAGAAUUCUAAGAACCGUUGGUUGAGAGACAAGCUCCUAGUUCCACACAAAAGUGUCUAUUUUGUAGCCAUGAUUUUGAAUGUCUUGUUGAGAUUUGCCUGGCUACAAACAGUCUUGAAAUUUUUUUACUCACACAAACCAACCCUAAGUGUACUUAUAGCCUCCCUAGAGAUUUUUCGACGUGGCAUGUGGAGUUUCUUCAGGUUGGAGAAUGAACAUUUGAAUAAUGUAGGCAAGUAUCGUGCAUUCAAGACAGUACCUUUGCCUUUCAACUAUGAUGAAGAGGAGGACAAAAAUAAUUGAAAUUUCACACCAAUGUACAAAAGGAAGGGUAAAAUUUAUCUAAGAUCCCUAAAUUUCACAGGUCUCAAAUAGCAAUCCAAUGGGUGGAGAAUUUAUAACAAGAAAAUGUACAUCCAUACAACCGUUUUUUCUUUUAUCAGCGACAAGAAAUUUUAUUCAAGUGUUGUGAUUUUAUAUUGGUUAGAAGUACUACAUUGGCAAUAUCACACGGUGCUAUGAGGGUUGUGAUCUUCCAUUGUAAUAUAAAAUUUCAUUCAAACUUUCUAAAUUUUUGCCA